UCCUGGAUAGCUCAGUUGGUAGAGCGCGCGGCUGUUAACCGCGGUGUCAUGGGUUCGAGCCCCAUUCUGGGAG
rnacentral:tRNA from 1 species